UCAAAAUGAACCGAUUUUUAUUGCCCGUUUUGGCAUACAGCGGCUGCUAGUUUCACCUCAUUGCAGUUUGUCUUGGACCGCGCAUUAAAGGAGAUAAAAUAUGGGAGCCUGGCCGUUUGUUUUUCUGGGGAUUUCUAUAGCGGUGGUGAGUAUAACAGGAGCACCGCUAGGAGAAGAAAACACAAAGCCUUGUUUAUCGUGGGAUUGUGCUCGAAAACGAGCACUUGAAUUAUCCAAUCUCGUCAAAGACGACGACGAGAACCCAUGCAUUUCCUGGGAAUGCAAACGAGACCUGAUACUACGCAAAAAGUUCCUGAACGCUAUCAGAGCCGCCGAGUCCGCGAACAAGAAGUCCAGCGUAACUGAAGAAGAGGAAUGCCUCUCGUGGGAUUGCAGACGAAAACGACGGGCAGCAGUUGAAAUGCCGACAAACAUUACACCAGAACCUCCCGCCGGUGACACGCCUUGCCUCACAAGUGACUGCCGAACCGGAAAACGAAGCAUUGAAGAUCCCUCUCUCAUGAAAAGGCUCCGUCUCACUCGUGCGAACGCUGACCCACAAAAUGAUCCAGCUUGCUUAGCUUGGCACUGCAUGACUGGAUAAGCAGAUAGCCAAACAGUAUUUAGAGAUGAAGACAACUGACUUGGCCGACUAAACUUUACUUCAAAUGAUCCUAUAGAAUUUUUGCUCGCGGACUAUUCGUCUCCACAAAAUAAAUUAUCACAUAAGCAAGACUAGAAAUUUGCUCCAAAAAUAAAAGCAAAAUGUAAAUUGUUCUUUGUAAAUUUAAUCUUAACUUAGCUUUAAGGUUGAAAGUGUUGAAAAUACUUUAGUUGCACUUAUAAAUAUCUAUAAAUACAUUUUGACUCUAAUGAAAAACUGC